CCCAUCCCCCUGGCUCCUCCUGGUCAGACAGGCCCCCAGCGCCGGGGCCGGUGCUGCCGCUCACCUGAGCUGAUGCACACGUGCCCUGCCUGGCCACGAGGAGUGCGGGACACACGGCUCUCAGCUGGCACCCGGCCGCCCCAGGCAGACUUUGUGGAGAAAAACUUUUCAAGCAAAACACUGCAUGCGACAAGCUGGACACCAAAGGACACACACCAGACGCGGGAGACCACAGACCAGAACCCCUUCAGUCUGUCAUCAGAACGAGCGGCCGGACCUCCCAGCCAAGAAACCACGUGGGGCAGCGGAGCUCCGGGCGGAGCCUGCAUCCGAAGGCGUCACAUGCUUCAAAUCGCACCUGAUCCAGGACUAAGCUUCCCUGGAUACACAUGCACAUAAGCCUGCAGCAUGUUUCAAAUUUGGUUCAUGAAAUGAGAUUUCAUUGACAUUUUACACUGUGCUAUUUUAAAUUAGUGCAAUUUGUCUUGGACUAACAUGGAAAAAUAAAAUGGCUAUUGUUUUAAAAAAUGGUAGAAAUAUAUUGUUGACAAGAUAUGAAUUAAGUUUAUUUUCUACAAACUGUUACUGAUGAGGACAUGGGUAAUACCUUCCAUGUUUCUGAAAAGUAAUCUGUACAUGGGGGGGAGGGGAUAAUAAAUAUUAUUUCUAA